CCACGGGGCGCAGCAGUGAGGAAUAUUGGUCAAUGGGCGGAAGCCUGAACCAGCCAAGUCGCGUGAGGGAAUAAGGCCCUACGGGUCGUAAACCUCUUUUGCCGGGGAGCAAGGGCCGGGACGCGUCCCGGCCCGGAGAGUACCCGGAGAAAAAGCAUCGGCUAACUCCGUGCCAGCAGCCGCGGUAAUACGGAGGAUGCUAGCGUUAUCCGGAUUUAUUGGGUUUAAAGGGUGCGUAGGCGGGCUUUUAAGUCAGCGGUAAAAAUUCGUGGCUCAACCCCGUCCGGCCGUUGAAACUGGGGGCC
rnacentral:rRNA from 1 species